AUUGAACGCUGGCGGCAGGCUUAACACAUGCAAGUCGAGCGAGCGGCGGACGGGUGAGUAAUGUCUGGGAAACUGCCUGAUGGAGGGGGAUAACUACUGGAAACGGUAGCCAAUACCGCAUACCCUCAGUAGUGCCCAGAUGGGAUUAGCUGGUAGGUGGGGUAAUGGCUCACAUGGGCGACGAUCCCUAGCUGGUCUGAGAGGAUGACCAGCCACACUGGAACUGGGACACGGUCAAGACUCCUACGGGGGGCAGCGGUGGGGAAUAUUGCACAAUGGGCGAAAGCCUGAUGCAGCCAUGCCGCGUGGGUGAAGAAGGCCUUCGGGUUGUAAAGCACUUUCAGCGAGGAGGCGUUACUCGCAGAAGAAGCACCGGCUAACUCCGUGCCAGCAGCCGCGGUAAUUC
rnacentral:rRNA from 1 species